AUAUCAAUGGAUUUGAAGAUCUCUAAAAAAGCUUCUGAUAUGGAGGACAAACUUAACAAAAACUAGAGACAAUCCUCGGACAUUGGCAGAGAAGAAUCUCUCACUAUAUAUUAAUAUCGAAGAACUAUGUGCUAGUGGUCAUAGUUAACAAGAGUCGAAUCCCGAUAGCAAUGAAGCUGAUUUUGUUCCAGAUUUGGCUCAUUUUAAUGCCAACUAUUUGAUGUACUUCACCUAUUUUCGGCUAUUUCAAUUAGUGUUCUAAUCUCAGAAUUGUUUUUUAUUUAGUAAGUAUGGUAUUGAUCUUUGUUGUGGUUGUGUAGGACUUGUUUGUGGUUGUCUAGGAAUGACUAUACUUGUGGUUAGUAACAGCCUUUGUACUAUUUUUAUUAAUUUGUUGGUGUUGAACCUUUAAUGGUGGAUUAAUACAUUUUUGAAAUGGUCAUGCCAAAUUUUUU
rnacentral:lncRNA from 1 species